rnacentral:rRNA from 1 species
CUUGACUGUAUCCUGGAAUUGGGUUCGGGCUUUUCUUGCGCAGCCUAGGUGGGAGGCUAUGAAGAUUUCCUUCCGGGGAAGUUGGAGCCAUCAGUGAGAGACCACUCUGGAGAGGCUAGAAUCCUAAUGGUGAUCCUUGAAUCAGGACACUUGACAGUUUCAGGUGGGCAGUUUUUCUGGGGCGGAAGCCUCAUAAAGGGUAACUGAGGCGCGCAAAGGUCCCCUCAGUCUGGACGGAAAUCAGACAACGAGUGUAAAGGCAAAAGGGGGCUUGACUGCAAGACCUACAAGUCGAGCAGGAGCGAAAGCUGGCCUUAGUGAUCCGACGGCGCUGAGUGGAAGGGCCGUCGCUCAACGGAUAAAAGUUA